AGAAUCAACGCUGGCGGCGUGCCUAACACAUGCAAGUCGCACGAGAAAAGGACUUCGGUCCUGAGUACAGUGGCGCACGGGUGAGUAACACGUGAAUCAUCUACCUUCGAGUGGGGAAUAACUGAGAGAAAUCUUAGCUAAUACCGCAUAAUACCCACGGGUCAAAGCAGCAAUGCGCUUGAAGAGGAGUUCGCGGCAGAUUAGUUAGUUGGCGGGGUAAUGGCCCACCAAGACGAUGAUCUGUAUCCGGCCUGAGAGGGCGCACGGACACACUGGAACUGAAACACGGUCCAGACUCCUACGGGAGGCAGCAGUGGGGAAUUUUGCGCAAUGGGGGAAACCCUGACGCAGCAACGCCGCGUGGAGGAUGAAAUCCCUUGGGAUGUAAACUCCUUUCGAUAGGGAAGAUAAUGACGGUACCUAUAGAAGAAGCCCGGCUAACUUCGCGCCAGCAGCCGC
rnacentral:rRNA from 1 species